rnacentral:rRNA from 1 species
GUCUAUGGCCAUACCACCCUGAAUGCGCCCAAUCUUGUCUGAUCUCGGAAGCUAAGCAGGGUCGGGCCUGGUUUGUACUUGGAAGGUAGAUU